rnacentral:rRNA from 1 species
GACGAACGCUGGCGGCGUGCUUAACACAUGCAAGUCGAACGGAAAGGCCCUGCUUUUGUGGGGUGCUCGAGUGGCGAACGGGUGAGUAACACGUGAGUAACCUGCCCUUGACUUUGGGAUAACUUCAGGAAACUGGGGCUAAUACCGGAUAGGAGCUCCUGCUGCAUGGUGGGGGUUGGAAAGUUUCGGCGGUUGGGGAUGGACUCGCGGCUUAUCAGCUUGUUGGUGGGGUAGUGGCUUACCAAGGCCUUGACGGGUAGCCGGCCUGAGAGGGUGACCGGCCACAUGGGGACUGAGAUACGGCCCAGACUCCUACGGGAGGCAGCAGUGGGGAAUAUUGCACAAUGGGCGGAAGCCUGAUGCAGCAACGCCGCGUGCGGGAUGACGGCCUUCGGGUUGUAAACCGCUUUCGCCUGUGACGAAGCGUGAGUGACGGUAAUGGGUAAAGAAGCACCGGCUAACUACGUG